GGGGGACAACAUUUGGAAACGAAUGCUAAUACCGCAUAAAAACUUUAAACACAAGUUUUAAGUUUGAAAGAUGCAAUUGCAUCACUCAAAGAUGAUCCCGCGUUGUAUCAGCUAGUUGGUGAGGUAAAGGCUCACCAAGGCGAUGAUACAUAGCCGACCUGAGAGGGUGAUCGGCCACAUUGGGACUGAGACACGGCCCAAACUCCUACGGGAGGCAGCAGUAGGGAAUCUUCGGCAAUGGACGAAAGUCUGACCGAGCAACGCCGCGUGAGUGAAGAAGGUUUUCGGAUCGUAAAACUCUGUUGGUAGAGAAGAACGUUGGUGAGAGUGGAAAGCUCAUCAAGUGACGGUAACUACCCAGAAAGGGACGGCUAACUACGUGCCAGCAGCCGCGGUAAUACGUAGGUCCCGAGCGUUGUCCGGAUUUAUUGGGCGUAAAGCGAGCGCAGGUGGUUUAUUAAGUCUGGUGUAAAAGGCAGUGGCUCAACCAUUGUAUGCAUUGGAAACUGGUAGACUUGAGUGCAGGAGAGGAGAGUGGAAUUCCAUGUGUAGCGGUGAAAUGCGUAGAUAUAUGGAGGAACACCGGUGGCGAAAGCGGCUCUCUGGCCUGUAACUGACACUGAGGCUCGAAAGCGUGGGGAGCAAACAGGAUUAGAUACCCUGGUAGUCCACGCCGUAAACGAUGAGUGCUAGAUGUAGGGAGCUAUAAGUUCUCUGUAUCGCAGCUAACGCAAUA
rnacentral:rRNA from 1 species